AGCAGCCGCGGUAAUUCCAGCUCCAAUAGCGUAUAUUAAAGUUGUUGCAGUUAAAAAGCUCGUAGUUGAAUUUCGGGAUCAAUAUAUUGGUCGUGCCUCUGGUAUGUACUGGUAUCGUUGAUUUCUACCUUCUGACGAACCAUGAUGUCAUUAAUUUGGUGUCAUGGGAAAUCAGGACUGUUACUUUGAAAAAAUUAGAGUGUUUAAAGCAGGCACACGCUUGAAUACAUUAGCAUGGAAUAAUGAAAUAGGACGUUUGAUCCUAUUUUGUUGGUUUCUAGGGUCGACGUAAUGAUUAAUAGGGAUAGUUGGGGGCAUUAGUAUUCAAUUGUCAGAGGUGAAAUUCUUGGAUUUAUUGAAGACUAACUACUGCGAAAGCAUUUGCCAAGGAUGUUUUCAUUAAUCAAGAACGAAAGUUAGGGGAUCGAAGACGAUCAGAUACCGUCGUAGUCUUAACCAUAAACUAUGCCGACUAGGGAUCGGAUGAUGUUAAUUUUUUAUGACUCAUUC
rnacentral:rRNA from 1 species